rnacentral:rRNA from 1 species
ACGGGAGGCAGCAGUGGGGAAUAUUGGGCAAUGGGGGAAACCCUGACCCAGCAACGCCGCGUGAGGGAAGAAGGUUUUCGGAUCGUAAACCUCUGUCCUUGGUGAAGAGGAAGAGACGGUAGCCAAGGAGGAAGCCCCGGCUAACUACGUGCCAGCAGCCGCGGUAAUACGUAGGGGGCAAGCGUUAUCCGGAUUUACUGGGUGUAAAGGGAGCGUAGACGGCUUUGCAAGUCUGAAGUGAAAGCCCGGGGCUCAACCCCGGAACUGCUUUGGAAACUGUAGAGCUAGAGUGCAGGAGAGGUAAGUGGAAUUCCUAGUGUAGCGGUGAAAUGCGUAGAUAUUAGGAGGAACACCAGUGGCGAAGGCGGCUUACUGGACUGUAACUGACGUUGAGGCUCGAAGGCGUGGGGAGCAAACAGGAUUAGAUACCCUGGUA